UUUAAAUUACAAUUAAAACAUGUUUUUUAACAUUUAGUAAAAAUGUAUGCAAUCAUGUUGGUAGUUUUUGUUCUUGUUGAAUUUGUCACUCCUGCUUGUUUUAAAGUCCUGACUUUUAAAGAUGACAUCUAUGGGACACAGGCCUAUAUGCAGCUAGUAAAUAGCUCAAGAAUUUGAAAGUAUGAUUUUGUUACAUUGUUCAAAUAUGCAAUACAUUUUUGCUUAAACUUUACACUUUCCAUUUAUUAGACCUGGGAAUGGUUGACAGACAAGAUGGAGGGUAUUUGGAUCUGCCAAAACUAGAGGACUGGAGUCAGAAAAAAGAAGGAAGAAAACAGAGGCAGAGUUCUUAGAUGAUGAGGACAACUGAGGAUCCACCGGACACCAUUAGCCUCCCUGUGAAUGACAGAGCUGCAGGACAGUUCUGUGUAUGACUUGACGGGAGGUUGUCUUAUCUUUGAAAAGUUUGCCAAACACAGCAGCACCAUCAAGACUUCAACCUGGCUGUUCUGUGUGUGCUAUUCUUCAGAUCUGAACUGAACAUGGUCUUCAGGUGUUGCAGGAUUUCCUGUGCAGUCCUCUUCUUUCGAAACUGCAGAUACUUCUGUCCUUGCUCGACCAAAUGUGUUUUUUUGCUGGUUCUUGGAACUGUGCAAUUUCUGGUAGAUGAAAGAAGGUAAACAUCUCAAAGGAAGGGGAAAUGUUCAAACAUUCUUUUUUCCAUGACUUAGGAGCAAGUAAUUUGCUGUCAUUUGUGCUGUCGACCAAGCACUGAAUGCAUAAAUAAACAUAUUUUGAGAUACUGAA